ACUCCUACGGGAGGCAGCAGUGGGAAUAUUCACAAUGGGCGCAAGCCUGAUGCAGCCAUGCCGCGUGUAUGAAGAAGGCCUUCGGGUUGUAAAGUACUUCAGCGUGAGGAAGGUGGAGUCGUUAAUANCGGCCUCAUUUGACGUUAGCUGCAGAAGAAGCACCGGCUAACUCCGUGCCAGCAGCCGCGGUAAUACGGAGGGUGCGAGCGUUAAUCGGAAUUACUGGGCGUAAAGCGCAUGCAGGUGGUUUGUUAAGUCAGAUGUGAAAAGCCCGGGGCUCAACCUCGGAAUAGCAUUUGAAACUGGCAGACUAGAGUACUGUAGAGGGGGUAGAAUUUCAGGUGUAGCGGUGAAAUGCGUAGAGAUCUGAAGGAAUACCGGUGGCGAAGGCGGCCCCCUGGACAGAUACUGACACUCAGAUGCGAAAGCGUGGGGAGCAAACAGGAUUAGAUACCCUGGUAGGCUCU
rnacentral:rRNA from 1 species